rnacentral:lncRNA from 1 species
AAUGGAUCACAGGUCACAGGCAAAAAAAAUCGAACGGCAAUGCGAAUGCGAAUUUAAGUGGAAAUGGCAAGAGGGAGAAUAGGUGGAGGGAGAGGCCAUGUUGGAGGAUUGGAAUGCUCUGUUAAUCAUUUAACUCAAUUAGAUAUAAUUAGGUUGGGUUUCCAUUUUUUGUGGUCCGUUUUGUUUUGUGCAUUUUGAAUGAAGUCGCC